UACGAAGGGGGCUAGCGUUGUUCGGAUUUACUGGGCGUAAAGCGCACGUAGGCGGAUUGUUAAGUCGGGGGUGAAAUCCUGGAGCUCAACUCCAGAACUGCCUUCGAUACUGGCAAUCUCGAGUCCGGAAGAGGUAAGUGGAACUCCUAGUGUAGAGGUGGAAUUCGUAGAUAUUAGGAAGAACACCAGUGGCGAAGGCGGCUUACUGGUCCGGUACUGACGCUGAGGUGCGAAAGCGUGGGGGAGCAAACAGG
rnacentral:rRNA from 1 species